rnacentral:rRNA from 1 species
AGUGAACGCUGGCGGUAGGCCUAACACAUGCAAGUCGAACGGCAGCACAGUAAGAGCUUGCUCUUACGGGUGGCGAGUGGCGGACGGGUGAGGAAUACAUCGGAAUCUACUUUUUCGUGGGGGAUAACGUAGGGAAACUUACGCUAAUACCGCAUACGACCUACGGGUGAAAGCAGGGGAUCUUCGGACCUUGCGCGAUUGAAUGAGCCGAUGUCGGAUUAGCUAGUUGGCGGGGUAAAGGCCCACCAAGGCGACGAUCCGUAGCUGGUCUGAGAGGAUGAUCAGCCACACUGGAGCUGAGACACGGUCCAGACUCCUACGGGAGGCAGCAGUGGGAAUAUUGGACAAUGGGCGCAAGCCUGAUCCAGCUAUACCGCGUGGGUGAAGAAGGCCUUCGGGUUGUAAAGCCCUUUUGUUGGGAAAGAAAAGCAGCAGGUUAAUACCCCGCUGUUCUGACGGUACCCAAAGAAUAAGCACCGGCUAACUUCGUG